rnacentral:tRNA from 3 species
GCCGGGGUGACUGACCGGUUAAGUGCGCGGCUGCAGACCGCGAGAAUUGGGUUCGACUCCCAACCCCGGCC